AGGGUUUGGAUCAUGGGCUCAGGACGAACGCUUGCGGCGUGCCUAAGAAAUGCAAGUCGAACGGGCAUUCCCUUUGGGGGAUGUUAGUGGCGAACGGUCGCGUAACACGUAGGCAACCUGCCCUGAAGUGGGGGACAACAGCCCGAAAGGGCUGCUAAUACCGCAUGGGAACAACAAACUGCAUGGUUUGUUGUUCAAAGGCUUUCCGCAAGGGAAGUCGCUUCAGGAUGGGCUUGCGGCCUAUCAGGUAGUUGGUGGGGUAAUGGCUCACCAAGCCGACGACGGGUAGCUGGUCUGAGAGGACGAUCAGCCGGAUUGGGACUGAGAUACGGCCCAGACUCCUACGGGGGGCAGCAAUUAGGAAUCUUGCGCAAUGGGCGAAAGCCUGACGCAGCGACGCCGCGUGCGGGAUGAAGGCCUUCGGGUCGUAAACCGCUUUUAACGGGGAAGAAGAAUGUGACGGUACCCGUUGAAUAAGCCCCGGCUAACUACGUGCCAGCAGCCGCGGUAAUACGUAGGGGGCGAGCGUUGUCCGAAGUUACUGGGCGUAAAGCGCGCGUAGGCGGUUGCCUAAGUCUGGGGUGAAAGGUUCAGGGCUUAACCCGAACAGUGCCUUGGAUACUGGGCGACUUGAGUGCCGAAGAGGAAAGCGGAAUUCCUGGUGUAGCGGUGAAAUGCGUAGAUAUCAGGAGGAACACCGAUGGCGAAGGCAGCUUUCUGGUCGGCAACUGACGCUGAGUGCGAAAGCGUGGGGAGCGAACGG
rnacentral:rRNA from 1 species